UUAUGUGUGGUUGAGCGGCUUAAAACGCUAGAUUGCUAAUCUAGAAAAUCAUAACGAUUUCAUAGGUUCGAAUCCUAUCACUUAAA
rnacentral:tRNA from 1 species